rnacentral:rRNA from 1 species
UACGAAGGGGGCUAGCGUUGUUCGGAUUUACUGGGCGUAAAGCGCACGUAGGCGGAUUGUUAAGUCGGGGGUGAAUCCUGGAGCUCAACUCCAGAACUGCCUUCGAUACUGGCAAUCUCGAGUCCGGAAGAGGUAAGUGGAACUCCUAGUGUAGAGGUGGAAUUCGUAGAUAUUAGGAAGAACACCAGGUGGCGAAGGCGGCUUACUGGUCCGGUACUGACGCUGAGGUGCGAAAGCGUGGGGAGCAAACAGG